rnacentral:rRNA from 1 species
GAUGAACGCUGGCGGCGUGCCUAAUACAUGCAAGUCGAGCGAACGGACGAGAAGCUUGCUUCUCUGAUGUUAGCGGCGGACGGGUGAGUAACACGUGUAUAACCUACCUAUAAGAUUGGGAUAACUUCGGGAAACCGGAGCUAAUACCGGAUAAUAUUUUGAACCGCAUGGUUCAAAAGUGAAAGACGGUCUUGCUGUCACUUAUAGCUGGAUCCGCGCUGCAUUAGCUAGUUGGUAAGGUAACGGCUUACCAAGGCAACGAUGCAUAGCCGACCUGAGAGGGUGAUCGGCCACACUGGAACUGAGACACGGACCAGACUACUACGGGAGGCAGCAGUAGGGAAUCUUCCGCAAUGGGCGAAAGCCUGACGGAGCAACGCCGCGUGAGUGAUGAAGGUCUUCGGAUCGUAAAACUCUGUUAUGAGGGAAGAACAUAUGUGUAAGUAACUGUGCACAUCUUGACGGUAACUAAUCAGAAAGCCACGGCUAACUACGUG